UUCGGUCGGCCGUAGAAGGCCGAUAAUAGGGAACCGGGUGCAAUUCCCGGGCAGUCCCGCUGCUGUGAGCCUCAACUAUUUAGGCACCCCAAAAACCACUGUGCGCCGCCACAGGCGCAUGGGAAGGUAGGGUGCCGGAGGCAAGCCAGAAGACCUGCCGAAGCUGCAA
rnacentral:ncRNA from 1 species